GAUGAACGCUGGCGGCGUGCCUAAUACAUGCAAGUCGAGCGAACGGACGAGAAGCUUGCUUCUCUGAUGUUAGCGGCGGACGGGUGAGUAACACGUGGAUAACCUACCUAUAAGACUGGGAUAACUUCGGGAAACCGUAGCUAAUACCGGAUAAUAUUUUGCACCGCAUGGUUCAAAAGUGAAAGACGGUCUUGCUGUCACUUAUAGAUGGAUCCGCGCUGCAUUAGCUAGUUGGUAAGGUAACGGCUUACCAAGGCAACGAUGCAUAGCCGACCUGAGAGGGGGAUAGCCGACACGGGAGCUGAGACACGGUCCAGACUCCUACGGGAGGCAGCAGUAGGGAAUCGGCCGCAAUGGGCGAAAGCCUGACGGAGCAACGCCGCGCGAGUGAUGAAGGUCUUCGGAUCGUAAAACUCUGUUAUUAGGGAAGAACAUAUGUGUAAGUAACUGUGCACAUCUUGACGGUACCUAAUCAGAAAGCCACGGCUAACUACGUG
rnacentral:rRNA from 1 species